AACUAAUACAAGUCUCUCUGUGUAUUCAUUUGGGCCUAACUCGGGCAGGCGGCUGUCGUAAAGCUCACACAUGGCAGUGGGGCUCAGGCGGCUUUUGGCAGAAAGAUUUAUAGUAACAACACAGUGUUCCUUGAGCAGCAAGUUGCUCCUUAAUCUGCUUGAUCCUUCAUGUAAGACAUGCUGGGCAGUUUCAGUGCGUUCCACUUAGACACAGACUAAGAAAUGGAAAUUAUUGGUCUGUGAUAGACUCUAAGAGUAAGGAAAUCCCAGUCUGUCACACACUGGUUCUCACUCCUUUUCAAUGUAACUAACUAUGGACACCUCCCUGCUACACCACCACCCCUAGGACUGGGUUAAGGACAAGUUUUCCCUCCCUCCACUGUUUGUUCACUCUCUGUCUUGCAAGUGCUUUUUGGUCACAAUGAGUCCCAGCAAGGCUUCAGAGCCUCUGGCAGGUCCUCUUCAGUGCUGCCAAACUGUCCACUGGGAUGGGUGUGUGAGGGGGAGCCGAUGGUCUCAGGGCCCUCAAUUAGACCGUGAAACUUCAUUUCACAUGAAAAGGAAAAAGAAAUCUAGUUGAUUCCUCAAGGUAAGAAGCUAACCAACAGUUAGACCUAAUCCUGUUUCCUUCCCCUAACUUACUUUACCCUGUCUCUGCAGGGACAGAGCCAAUCUUCCUGAGAAAGUAUCCUCCAUCUGCUUACAGGCUCUGGAGCCAUCUAGACUCCAGUUUAUAAGAGAGCUCUGCAAAGAGGGCCCUGCUUUUCUGGGCCAUCAAUAGGCCUUCAGCUCUGGGAGUCCUGCUCACUGUCUCCCUUCAAGUCUUCUCUCCACUGUACAACAUCUGUUUUCCAGGCAGCGUGCACUGUGUCCAGAGACAGCCAAAGGUCAUCAGACUCCUAAGAUCAGGAUGGAAGAAGAGCAGCAGCCUGAGAGUUCAGUAUCACCCCAAAAGAAAGCAAAGCUAGCUGAAAUCAAGAGAAAGAAACGUGUCAGAUCACUCUUACCCCAUCAAAGGGACAGGAAAAGUAAACUGUCUUCCUCUCAAGGUGCAGAUCAGGAGACUUUCAAAUGUGAAUGUCACUGCUGCCUGAAGUAUGCAGGAAACACGUCCGGAAUGUCUGCGGGGGCCAGAAUAGAAACAACCUCUCAUUCACCCUCCUUAGAAAAGCUGACACUAGAUCUCAGUAACUUGACACUCAACCCGUGUGCACCCCAGCCCAAUCUUAUGCAAGAAACAACACAGAAAUUAGAAAAUGACAACAUGCAUAGCGAACAGAACGGCAAAAGAAUGCUUAAAAGGCUGCUCCACUAAUGGACAGAAUAACUCUGGCCUUGCCACUCUCCUUAGAAGACCAUCAGAGCCAACAGGAUCCUGAAUGUCAACAUCACCAACCGAUCCCUGGGGUGAAAUCUUUUGGGGGCAUGGUCAUGAGGAGUAAAUAUGUCCAGUCUUGUAACAAUAACACCAUCACAUGGAGAGACUCACACCUAUUCUGGAAAUGUUGCAUUCUUUUCCUUAGUAGUUUUGGCAUCCUUCCUGGUACAUUUUGGGUUAGACACUCCCAGGCAAGGGCAAUCACAUAGUGGGGUUUCUAUACCCCCCAUAUGCUAUUCUUAUGGGUGAGAAACCAUUAUAUUCUCCUCAGGUUUUGGCUUUUCUUUCCUUCCUUAUUUGUUGCUUUCAAAAGGGCCUCUGUUCCAUUUUAUUGACUGGAGGGCAGAAGGAACACCAGGUCUGGUGGAAUUCUGUGUGUGAGUGUGUUUCUCUCUCUCUCUCUCUCUCUCUCUCUCUCUCUCUCUCUCUCUCUCUCUCUCUGUGUGUGUGUGUGUGUGUGUGUGUGUGUGAAAUUUUUGUUUCAAAGCUUUUGGCUGAUGUUUUGUUUUUGUUAUGACAAAUCAAGCUUGCCCAGAGAUCAGAAGGCAGAGCUCCCUACUACUUAACCACAGAAGCUACAUUGUGGUGGUUCAAGCCUUUAAUCCCAUCACUAGAGAGGUGGAGAAAGGAAGUGAUAAGGUGGGGUGAAGACAUGUUCACAGCUCUUUUGGUCAGAGGAUACUGAGAGGUAAGAAGUCACUGGUGGCUGCUCCUCAGGAUCUCUGAUGUUCCGUGUUCUUACCCCAUUGUUUGACUUCUGAUUUUUUGUUGAUUAAGGUUCAUUAUAGUUAUGCUUCACCGAACUAUUAUAGAUACAGAAGAAUGCGAAUAUAUUGAGCAUUCUUCUUAUAAUUUGUCCCCAUUAUAUUUUGCUGUACUCUUUACACAACCAUAUAACCCUUCAAGAGCAGGACACUAACACUGGCACAAUCAGUGUGUGCAACUCUCUUUCACUGUGUCAUAUGUGUAAAUGCAUGCAAUUACCACCACAAUCAAGUUUCUUCUCUGUUUCAUCAAAUGGAGACAAUAAAAUACAUCCUUAUAGGAAUGAAAUAUUA